rnacentral:tRNA from 1 species
GGGGCUAUAGCUCAGCUGGGAGAGCGCUACAUUCGCAUUGUAGAGGUCAGCGGUUCGAUCCCGCUUAGCUCCA